AGAUCUCAGGGAAGAGUUCCCAGUGCUCUGAAUUCUGCUUAAACCUUGGCAUUCAAGGCAGAGAUCGCCAGGCAAGCAUCAGGCCAGACACUGGGAGUUUAUCCUGAGAGCCUGGCCACACGCUGACAGGGGGACAGAAUUCCAAUUGCGGGCUGCGGCUGCUGUUGCCGAGGGAGAGGACGCUGCGCUCCGCCUCCGAGAGAAGCAAGGAUGCGGGGGUUUCUGUGGGCUCCUUGCUUCCAGCCUCCGGAGAAAGAGGAAGACCGUUGGGCUCAAAACGAGCCCUUCUCCCUGGCCUGCCUCUGGCAAGGCUGUUAGAAGGAGGAGAGGCUUGUGCAGGGGAGCAGGACCGAUAGGGGUUGGGGACAUGGAGAAAGUUUUUAGCCUUUUUUAAAAAAUCUGCUGGGGGUCUUCUACUCCACGUAAUGAGCUACUCCCAGAGGAAGGAGAACUUAACCCCCUAUCCCCAUGGAUGGCAGGAAAGUGGAUACUUAACUGCAUGUGGCCAGUGAGAUGCUGGCAAGGGGUUUUGCACCAAUGUGGGCUCCAGGGUCACAUCCAUGAGGGGUCUCUAUGGGAGAGAUGAUGAAAACGAAGGGAGCAAUUUUAAAACCACGGGUCUCCCUCUGCAGGCUAGAGGGGGACACUUCAGAGUAGAGAGAAGCCCUUCUAGAGAUAGAAAAAUCAGUGUGCCCAUAGGAACCCGAGAGAGAGAGAGAGAGAGAGAGAGAGAGAGAGAGAGAGAGAGAGAGAGAGAGCGCAACAAGUAUCCCACCCCCACCCCCAUAUGUCUGCCAGGACUUUUUGUGUUUAACAAAGGAAGACAGCUGGGUGCCCUGUAGGACUGGUUUAAUUCCAUUCCUUUCAAGGUGUGUGUGUGUGUGUGUGUGUGUGUGUGUGUGUGUGUGUGUGUGUUCUGUCCCAGGAUUUGCCAGAUGGAAUCACAGCUGGAGCUGUAGGUAGGAGAGAGAAUGGGCUCUCUCUGUGUCUUCCACCUCCCUCUUCCUGAAAAUCCCUUGUAAGUCAGGUCCCUGCUGGCUGAUAGGUGUGGCUUGCUUGCCUGCCCCUUGCCAAGGAUCAAGUGGCUGGCAUCAGGGAUAAAUUCUCAUCAUAGUGAAAGGAAUUAAAAGUUAGAGUAGCCAACUUGAGCCACUUGGCCAAGCUGGGACAGAGCCACAUGGAGGCAAGUGUCUUGGAGAGCGAAGCUGGCAUCUUCAGGGGAUGCCAGGCUUAAAAAGGUGGAGAAAAGGGUGGCUUGGAUCAUCCUCUUCUAGGUUGAUGGCCAUUCUGCAAUGAUGUUAUGACCCAUCCAGCCUCCUGCUAAGCCAGAUCCACUGAGACAGUUCCCAGAAAGCAGUCCGAGGUGACAUGCGUGUGGAGCAUGACCUCAGUAGUUUAUCAGUCAGGAAUGUUAAGACAUGACAGAAGGCAAAUGACCAAGACUGGAUGGGAGGAGCUUUGUGCCUUUGCUAACCCAGAGUCCUGGUCUCAACAGGGCAUAGGCUUGUAAACCAGGAGGACCAAAACCAAGUCGCCUCGAGAAGUGAAUACUCUUGGUUUUAUUGCCAUCCAACAGAUGAGAAAACUCAGGCCUGCCACAAUGAACUGCUGUGUCCUAAUCACAGGACCAGUGAAGUGAGAGCUGAGACGUCAUCCUGGGUAUGUCCACCUCUGAAGCAGGGUUUUAAAAGCAGGCCCAAAUUUCCCCAUCCCAAAUUUAGGAAAGUGUUUCUACCCCCCUGCCCCUGCGCUAUGUCUCCAUAUGUCACACAGAGACCACUUCCUCACAUGUAUAGAUGCCCUGCCUUCUUUCUCUUGGUCAGACGACAACCCUUGUUGCUCUUACAAUCUAGGCUUCUCAUACGGAAGACUCCCUGAUUCUUUUCACCAACCUUUGGCUCAUCAGUCUAAUUAAUAAGCAUUAAACUCCCCUUUAACUCUGCUACAGAUACUACGUUGGCUUGGGGGAAACAAGGAGAAUAAAAUUCACAUCCCACCAUUGAUCAACCUCAUAGCUCAGGGAAGCGAAGGCUGUGCAGAUGCACAGCUCUGUGCAACAGCUCUGAUCUCAUCAAAUCUCAUCUGUGUCCAGCUGGAUACAAUGGCUAUAAUUCCUGCCACAUUCUGCCCCCUCCCCACCAACCAUUACCUGUGCUAGGCUCUGUCACCUCCCCUCUUCUUCUCCUGGAGUCAGUUUCUCUCUGUUCAGACACAUUUUUUCAUGUGUGCAGACCCUACAGUAGAUCUCAUCACCCCACCCCAAUAUGUGCCCAUUCAUGCCUCUUUCACCCCAUAUCAGAUUGGCAGUCACAAGCACGACGGGGCACAUGGUGUAUACUCAUGCAGACCUGGGAGUUUGUGUCCCCCAUCUGUUCUGCCUCCUUCUGCUCUGUGACCUUGGAGGAAGUGCCUAAUGGGCUCUGAACUUUCAUAUCCCCUCUUCCACAGUAGUGGAGUUUUGGAAUGGCAAAGGAAUGAGAUAAAGCUAUGAUGCGUUUAUACAAGCUAGACACUUAGCAGUCAGCCACUCUCAGUCAAUGCUGGGAGAAGGUGCUUUGUCGAUGUUUGCUAUUCUCUUUCAGGUGACUGGGGAACCAUUUAAAGCUCACCAGGGUCUUAUUUGCCUCAGGUACUGCAUACCUGGAAGCCAAAGUCAAACAUAAUGCUGCCUUCUCUUCUGCUUCCUUUGCAUGGCCCAAAGAUGAUCUCAGGGUCUCCUUAACUCUUGCAAACAGGGUAGGCACUAUAGGAUGGGUGGAAGACCAGAGGAUAAAGGUACUUAUUGUGGCUUUCAUUGCAAGUCAUUGGACUCUGUGCUGGGCUUUCUUGUGGAUUUGUCAUAUGUCAAGAGCACCACUGAACCCAUUUCACAGAAGAAACUGAGAAGGGCUACUUGUCCUGUGGUCUAAUCGCUGAAAGCUGAAACAGGGAAGUCUGAGCUAGAGGAGACAGCCCACAGACCUGCACCAGAUGCCAAUGUAUGCCACUGAAGCACUAGCACAGAACUGGAGGACCAGAGAUGGACAGUGGUUUUACAGAGAUGCCACCAUACCAUUCUCUGUACAGUGCUAGUUACUCCAAAAGAUGGCUAAUAAAAGUGUUCCUGCACGGCUCUUGUUAAGGGCCCUCUUUGGCUGGUAAGAAUCUCUUGUAAUUAACACUGUGGUUUGUGCACAAACGUUAGAUAUUGUCUUAUUCUUUAAAAUGCUUUUGUAGAGCUCAGUUGUUAAACAUUUGCAGCAUCAAUCAAAUCCCCAUUACCUUUUCUUAGCUCUGGGGCAUGUGCAGGGUCUUUCUAGGCAGACAGGCAUCAGGUUUAGAGUAGGUCUACUUGGCCCAGUUUUUUAGGUGCUGCCCUAAUUGUGUAUAAUUAUGGUCUUUUUUGUGCACUUCGCAGCUAAACAUUAAAAAAAGCUUUUCAGAUAAAUUCAUGUGAAAAUUGGGCAAUUUAACCCCCUGUUAGCCCAUAAUCCUAGAGUUUUGCUCUGGAAAAUCUGUUUAUUUGCUUAAGAACAAAUGAAUGGAUGUUUUUAAUGAAUCUCUCUCUGUUGCUGCUCUGAGGUACCAGGAGGGGGCGCUCUCUUCCCCAGGGCCUGCCCUAAAUGUGACUCCCUUGGAGGCUUCUGGGCAGAGUGCAAUUUUCUCUUGCUCCUGAAGACAGUGGCAGGCAGAGUUAGACAGGGUGGGCCCUGUAAUCAGCUCCUAAGCUAAUUUGCUACUUAACGUGUAUUGGAUACUGGCAGUGGCUGCCAUCACCCAUAAUUAGAAAAAAAAAUGUGUUCUUUUCUAACACGCAGAUGGAAUUAUUAGUUCAAACUCCCAUGUCUUUCUUGUGCAACUUUUCCUCCUGGUUCCUCAUGGCAGUAAGAAAGGUUAACCCGAGCAUAGCCCUGCAGCAGACUGGUUUAUAAACAAACUCUUACAGCAACGAGUUUUAUUUCUUCUCUUCUGUGAACUUUUAGCAAAUAAUUCUCUAUGAAGGGCAUACCAGGGAGAGAUGUGAAGCAAAGCCACGCAUUUAAUGAGUCCUUUCUUUUAUGUAUUUAUUUGUUUUAUGCAUAUGGAUGUUUUGCCUGUAUAUAUGUGUACAUGUGCAACAUGUGUGUGCCUGGUGUCUUUGGAAGCAAGAAGAGGGUGUCAGAUCCCCUAGGCCUGGAGUUCCAGACAGCUGUGAACCUCCAUGUGGGUACUGAGAAUCAAAUCUGGGUCCUCUGGAAGAGCAUCCAUUGCUCUGAACGGAUGAGCCAUCUCUGGCUCCAAGAGAGUAGUUUCUUAAAACCAUACUUACUGUUGCUUGCUCUCCAGGUGAAAACUAAAGAAACCUUUUCGAAAGAGUAGACCCAUGGGACUUGGUUGCCAAUUGGCCUGGCACUGGGAUAGGUUUAAUUUGCUGUGUUGCCUUAAGGAAACCAUAGAACAUCUCUGUGUUGUUUUCUUCAUUUGUGCUAACUCAUUCCUCGGACUUCCUGUUGUUGGUGGUGCUGCUGCUGCUACUAUUGCUGCUGCUACAAUUUGACACUGGCCUUGACCAAAUCAUAAAUACCCAGCUAAUGGGAUAAAAAUGAGCUGGAACCUGAAAUUCUUGUCAUUAACCCCAUGUUACUAUCUGCUGGAGUAUGGAUGAGGGUAGGGCCAGGGCACUGGGGGGAUCACCUGUCACUUGUCAGACACAAUCUUCCCCUCCCAAUCGACUUUUCAGUUUCAGGGUCUGUAGAGCUGAGGCCCUGUGGGGCUGGCUGCCUUUGUAGGUGGUGAAGGGCAGCUUAAGACAUCACGCAAGACCAACUGUGUGGGCCUGAUAGAGGCUCUUGCUGUUUACCAGCCCUGCCAAACUGCUCUGUGCCAUUUCCUGCCGCAUUUCCCUCUGCCUAGAAAGACCCUGACAGCCGGUUCCCCUCUGCCCCCUCCCCAGCUGCUUGGCUGGUUGGGGGCUGUGUAUUGAAACAGGUUGUAGGAAUUCAUGAAAUCAAUAGACACGUGAUGAAUUGGCUCCACUCUGCUGUCGAGGCUACGGAAGUGGGGACUCGUCCAUUCUUAUGGACCUGGGGCCUGUCCUGGGGAGGUAAAGGCUCUUCCAACCAUGACUCUAUCCCUUACUGCUCCCAGAGACUCAGCUGCUGUCACUGAACUGGAAAACGCCUGAUGUCAGGCCUUGCACACCGGUUAUUUCCAACUUCCUAAUCUGUGCACGUGAGUGUAGCUGAGAGCUGGGGCUACUGAGGAAUUGAAACCACCGCCUGUCUGCCCCCUCGGAGAGCAAUUUUGCCUUCCCUGCAUGUGUGAAUGGACAUCCAAGGCUUCCCUGCAAGCCCCUUUCCACUUUCCUGCCCCUGCCACCCUAACCACAGGAUGGUGAUAGCAAAAAUAAACUGUGUAAACAGGAGGUGGGUACUCAGUAAGUAGCAGCUACUGUGAAAACAGCUAUGUAGCUCACAACUUCAAACUGUGCCUUGCCCUUCAGGCACUUUUUUAAUAAGCAAAAAUCCGUUUCAAAUGCACCCUUGCCUUGUAGUAUGGAAUUAGUACUUUUAACUCUGAUUUUGUUUACUUUAACAAGACACAUCUCCCUGUAACUGGACUCUCCUGGGUGGGCUGCCUUCCUCUCCACUACUCUCAAAGGAGGCUUUGGGACCAUGUCUGACCACAGCUACUUUGAUCCCGAAAGCCUUUAAUCUAGAGCACCUGCUUAAAGGUAUCCUCGCUCAUAUAAAUAAAGCAAGCUCCAGCAGUAGGGAGGUACCCACAUCAGGAGGCCCUGGUUUCUGAUGUGAUUUCAGGCUCCUUCACGGGGGAAGUAAGUCUAUGCCACCCUUUGCUGUCCCCUCUCUGGCUUGUGUCUCAAAGCUUCCUUUCUUCAUACUCAUUGUACAGACCUUUUCCUAGUCUGUCUCUGCCUUUCUGUCCCCUGGGAAGAAAGUAGAAGAAAGAAACCAUGACUAUUUGUUUUCUCUCGGUCAGUUGAUCCCUAGAGCCAAUUGUCUCACGCACAAGGGGGAGUGGGGGGGGGAGCACAGACAGGUCUGAAGUCAACCAUCCACAGCAGGUUUUCAACAAAAACUUUAUUAGUACCACCUUGGCCAUAGGUGAGCCAGCAUUGUGUGUAGCGGAGAGGAGGUGUGGAGUCAGCUUCCACUGCUCUGAGUGGAGCUGCCUCUCCCCCUUGUGUUCUGCAUGUGGGGUUGCAGCGGCUACUGAGCAUCCUCUUUGCAGCCAUAACUCUGCAGCACCUCCUGCACCCGUGUGUGUCCCACCCUGCCUGCCAUCUUUAUUCAGCACUCUGUACCCUGAAAAGCCCACAGGCAUGCCCAAAUCAGAAAGCACGGAGCCCCUGCACUUACUUGCAUCCUGUAUCUUCUGUGUAAGUAGUUGUGUUAUUCGUGUCAAGUUGAUUCAUGUAUUCUCUAGUUCUUUCAAACUGCCGAGUGAAAACAGCAUAACGAAAUGGGGAUUUAAGAAAGCAGAGGUCAGGACUGCGAGGGAAAAAGGAGAAAUACAUCUCUGUUCAGCUUUAUUUUUUUUUUCUGUAAGUCAACAUGACUCCCGUUUUAAAUUCAUAAUGUGGUAAUGUAAAGAUGCUACAUGGGGAAGUAGCCCUAUGGACCAUCUAGAGAGCAAUAGGGCUCCAAGAAAUAAAGACAAAGCAAAGCGAAACAAGAGCCAAAAACAUGAUCUCAAUUUUCAUGAGGAUCUUUCACCUGUUGGAUGAGGUACUGGCUAACAUCUCUUUUCUGUUCACACUUGAUGACAUACUCAAACAGACAUUAUCGCAUCUGACUUCCAUAGCAGAAGGAACUGUAGGCUCAGAGAGCUGAAGGGCCCUAAGCUCCAAUUAACUCACUCCAUUCCAGAUUCCAGGUUGUUUGCACUCUGCUACUGUUGUUUCCUACUGCCCUCUCCCAACCCAAAUUGGCUCCACAGAGCUUUGAUUGAGAAUGCUUGUGGACACAGCUCUAGGGGGAAGCCCAUAAGAGAUCAACAGGAAGCACUGGGGAGGGAGGGGGGAGAUUGGAGAUGGGAGAUGAAGGUCUUAACCAGUUUGAUGAUCAGGCCUAAGAUGACAAUGUUCUUUCUAUGACAUCCCUGGGUCUGUCACAAUAAUAGGAGUCCCAGUUAAAGAUCAGAAGAAACCACCCCACCCUUUCUUUGUGCGGAUAGAUGCACAUGGGUGUGUCCUUGCUUUCCUGUCUGAUGAAGUGAUUGAGUUAUUAAGGAUCUACAGCUUAUUAAUUUGGGUCUGACUCCUUUGCUAGAGCAGUGUGGAAAGAGACCAGUGAGUGAAGGCAUCCUCUCAUUAUUCAAUACACUGUGGACACAGGGCUGUGCUUUUCGGAAGCCAUGACAUUGGGAUGUGCUAUUUCAUUCUCUGCAGGUCAAAUCCCAUGGAAGGACAGAAACCUCUGUGCAUCGGGAGAUGUGUAUCCUGGAGUCAUGCACACACCUGCCCCCUUUUUUCCUUUUACCAGCAAGCAGACCAGGCUUAAAGGGGCAAGGAUUUCAGCACCAGUUUGGGGACUGCUGAGACAUUUAGUCUGGUGGACUGAAAAAACUACCUAGUCAUUGGCCUUUCCAUUGUGAGACCAUUGUUGAUGGAGUGCCUGAACCAUAGAAUGUCCAAGGACCUCCUCCCAGUCGCUCCAGCUUUUGAGUAUCAAGGCUCUUUGCACCAUCACCACCAGAGGUCGCUGUUGAGAAUGGUCUCUUACCAGGAGCCAAGCUGGAGACUUUGCUCUACAAUCAUUUCCUUCCCCGGCUCAUUUUCUAAUCCAAACAUUUGAGGAUGAGGUAUCUGGGUCCUUAUUUAAGCCAUCAACUGGAAAGCAGUCAUCGUCCCCGACACCUCAGCAAAGCACAGAGAUUUCCGCAGCCAUAAUAAAGGUCAGGAGAGGAAGAGACAGAGUUAUCUAAAUCCACAGCUGUAUCCAGGUUCAUGAAGAAUGGCAGAUUGAGUCUUGAGAAGCCAGUGGAGAACAAGAUGAAGGCAACACGUGUGCUGUUAUUUCUUCUUUCCUCCAUCCCUCUUCCUUUCCUGUUACAACAACAACAGUAAUCACAGCAAGUAAAAACAGCAAGCCUGUGACCCCUCUGAACCGAUGGUAUCCAUCCCUCAACAGACGCUCCUCCCACUCCCAGACAAUCUCUCCAGUUCUUUUUAUGCAUAAAUGAAGGAGCUUAGACCAGGCAGGCUCUAUGGCUGUGAAGCUCAUUGGUAGAAGCUGGCCUGUGUCUGAUUGCCUCCCUCCCCCCUUAGGAAGAAGGAAGAGUAAGAUUUCUCUUCUGGAACCUCUAGGCCUAUUUCUUUUAAUAAAAGAACAGCAAGUAUGUGCUCCGUAGCAUUCGGAGACAGUGGCUGGGGACUUUGAGUAGGGAGGCAUACAGUUGAUAAAGGCAAGAUUCAGGCCCUUAUCAUUCCUACUAUAAGGUCACCUCCCUGCAGCCUUGCUGAGGAGACAAUGCCUGGCCUGAUUUUCACUGAUGUUCAGCUAUACCAUAAACUUUUUUUGUUCACACUGGAGCUGAGAGACCCACUGUUCCUACCAAACACCACUGAGAAGGUAGUGAUUUUUAUUUCUUUACAGUAACCAAGGAAACCCAGCAACCCCCAGCAGAAGGGUCUAGACACUAUUAUUCUAGUUUCAGUCUUAGGGUCUCAGGAAAAAGCAACCCCAAAGGUAAAAUGUAUUUUAUUGCUGAAAAAGAAAAUGGGUAGAAUCCUGCAAACAGCAGAGUUAAGUUAUACCACCAUGCUAUAACAUCUAGAUGAAGAUGAGGCAUCCUUACAUCCCCUAGUUCUUUAGUAAGAUGAAGAUUCCAGGAGGAAUGGACCUUGUCCAGAAGCUAACUCUACCUAGCAAUGCUCCGAAUGCUGUGACACCAUCUGGGGUCAUCCAACUGGCCAUUGAGCAACAGACAGGCAGGGUAAGUAAUAGGACAGAACUAAUUAAUAUGAGACUGGAGAGUCAUGAGACUCAGAGAGCAACGAAGAAUCUGCAUUUCUUGUCAACCAAUGUUUGCUCAAACUUGGAAGCAACCAAAGGCAUUAUUCAGUAAACAACUGGAUAAAUAAACUGUGGUACAUCCACAGAUGGAAUAUUAGGCGGUUUUAGCAAGUGAUCCUCUACUGAGCCAGGGAAACAUUGACAGGAAGUCGCACAUACAUCCUUGAGUGGAAGAAGACAAUACAAAGGAGCCAAAACCCAGAAACUGCAUCAUCUCAACUCUCUGAAAUUUUGGGAAAAGGAAAACUAUGUAGACAGCAAGAAGAUGAGUAAUUGCCAGGGAUUGGAUGAAAACGUGAGUUUUAGGUCCUGAAGGCAGCAUUUACGAAUAGAAAAGCCAGUGAUGAGGCUUGGAAAUCGUGAUACCAAAAUCCUGCCAGCACGUGGCUCUCUGCUGAUACAGAAUUAACAACUGAAAAUACAGAGAUAUGCCUUAAUAGCAGUGUGAAGAAAGACCACCCCAAUAGGACACAGAAAUGACUAAUAAAACUAUAAAGAUGUAUUCUGUCUUAGGAGACAUGGAAAAGAAAAUCCAAACUUUACUCACAUAAGGACGGCAAAGUAGAUAUGACAGAAAAUAAUAAGCGUUGGCAAGAGUGCAUGUACCUGGUGCUGCUGGGGGCAUUGUAAAUCGACACAACUGCUCUGGGAACCUAUUUAGCAGUAUCUACUAGAAGACUACUUUUCCAUACAAUACUGUGUACCAAUCCUACUUCUAGGAACAGACUAGACAAUAUGCUGACAUUUGGUCACUCGUGACUUGCAUGAACAUGUUCUUAUAUGGAACAAAAAUAUUUGUGGCAGCAUUAUUUAUAACAGCUCCAAACUCGGAAGCAAUGUAGACACAGAUCAACAGUAACAUGAGGAAGGAAACCAUAGUACACUCUCAGAGCAGAAUAUUAUAUGGCAAGGGACAGGAACACUGAAAGGUUAUAUUCAACAAUGCACACACUCAAUUUGACAAAACUAGAAGCACCUGAGAAACAUCUUAAUUGAGGAACUAUCUAAAUCACAAUGGCCACUGGGCAUCCCUGUGGGGGGGGACUUAUUUGAUUGCUAAGUGAUGUAGGAAGACUCAGCCUGUUGUGGGUGGCAUUAUUUCAUGGGCUGAGACAUGAACUGUGUAAGGAUGAAGAAAGCUAGCAGCCUGUGAGUAACCUAGCAAGCAGACAUGAAGGGCAUAC